rnacentral:tRNA from 1 species
GCGCCCGUAGUACAACGGAUAGAACACAGCCCUCCGAAGGCUGAGAUCGAGGUUCAAUUCCUCGCGGGCGCACAA